GGCAACUUGGCCGAGCGGUUAAGGCGCCAGUUUCAGGUCCACCUGAUUCAUCAAAUUACUGGUUCGAAAGAGCGAGAGUUCGAAUCUCUCAGUUGUCA
rfam:Pseudogymnoascus sp. 05NY08 unplaced genomic scaffold scaffold_7, whole genome shotgun sequence.